GAUGAACGCUGGCGGCGUGCUUAAGACAUGCAAGUCGAACGCAGGACUAGUCGCAAGACGGGUUCUGAGUGGCGAAUGGGUGCGUAACACGUAGGUGACCUGCCCGGAAGUGGGGAAUAACAGUUCGAAAGGACUGCUAAUACCGCAUACGGUCCACGGCUCCAGACGGCCGGGGACCAAAGGUGAUCGCAAGAUUGCCGCUUUCGGAGGGGCCUGCGGCCCAUCAGCUAGUUGGUAGGGUAAUGGCCUACCAAGGCGACGACGGGUAGG
rnacentral:rRNA from 1 species